rnacentral:tRNA from 3 species
GCGCGGUUAGCUCAGUGGUAGAGUCCUCGCCUGACUUGCGAGUUGUCAAGUGUUCGAAUCACUUACCGCGCACCA